rnacentral:misc_RNA from 1 species
CCCGCGCCUAGAAACUCAGCGGUGUUUUGUCUUUAUGAUCAUGAGCUGGUAGCAGGU